rnacentral:rRNA from 1 species
GACUACAAGGGUAUCUAAUCCUGUUUGCUACCCACGCUUUCGUACCUCAGCGUCAGUUUGAGUCCAGAGAGCCGCCUUCGCCACUGGUGUUCCUUCAGAUCUCUACGCAUUUCACCGCUACACCUGAAAUUCCACUCUCCUCUACUCAACUCUAGUCAUCCAGUAUCAAAUGCAGUUCCCAGGUUAAGCCCGGGGCUUUCACAUCUGACUUAAAUAACCGCCUACGCACGCUUUACGCCCAGUAAUUCCGAUUAACGCUUGCACCCUCCGUAUUACCGCGGCUGCUGGCACGGAGUUAGCCGGUGCUUCUUGUAUAGGUAAUGUCAGUCUACCGGGUAUUCGCCGAUAGGUAUUCCUUCCUAUUGAAAGUGCUUUACAACCCUCAGGCCUUCUUCACACACGCGGUAUUGCUGGAUCAGGCUUUCGCCCAUUGUCCAAUAUUCCCCACUGCAGCCUCCCGUAGG